rnacentral:lncRNA from 1 species
GCAGCGCCAUGGGAACCGUCAUCGUGGUUGACAAAACUGAUGUUCCUCAUCCCCCUUUCCCUAUAAGUUUCAGUCAGUCUCAUGCGUGUUUAUGGUAACUAUCAUAGUUGACUUGUUGCAUGUUGAUGGUCGAUAUGAGUGUUGCUGAUGUUAGUGUUGUCGUAUAAUCAGUUGAUUGUGUCAUGUUAUUAUAUCUGUGAAAUUUGAACUUAUAUUG